AUAUUGCUUUGGUAAUACAUAUGCUAAAAAUCGGAACGAUAUAGAGAUCAGCAUGGCCCCUAUGCAACGAUGACACGCAAAUUCGUGAAGCGCUCCAUAUUUUC